GGAGGAAAGCAGGGGAUCGUAAGACCUAGCGUUGAUGGAGCGGCCGAUAUCUGAUUAGCUAGUUGGUGGGGUAAGAGCCUACCAAGGCGACGAUCAGUAGCUGGUCUGAGAGGACGACCAGCCACACUGGAACUGAGACACGGUCUAGACUCCUACGGGAGGCAGCAGUGGGGAAUUUUGGACAAUGGGGGCAACCCUGAUCCAGCCAUUCCGCGUGAGUGAAGAAGGCCUUCGGGUUGUAAAGCUCUUUCGCAAGGGAAGAAAACUCGAUCUCUAAUAUAGGUUGAGGCUGACGGUACCUUGAUAAGAAGCACCGGCUAACUACGUGCCAGCAGCCGCGGUAAUACGUAGGGUGCGAGCGUUAAUCGGAAUUACUGGGCGUAAAGCGUGCGCAGGCGGUUUUGAAAGUCAGACGUGAAAUCCCCGGGCUCAACCUGGGAACUGCGUUUGAAACUACAAAGCUAG
rnacentral:rRNA from 1 species